GAUGAAGAACGUAGCGAAAUGCGAUAAGUAAUGUGAAUUGCAGAAUUCAGUGAAUCAUCGAAUCUUUGAACGCACAUUGCGCCCGCCAGUAUUCUGGCGGGCAUGCCUGUUCGAGCGUCAUUACAACCCUCAAGCCCCCCGGCUUGGUGUUGGGGACCGGCCACCGGUGCCCUGCUGCUUCCGCGGCAGGCGCACCCGGCCGCCCCCGAAAUGAAUUGGCGGCCCCGUCGCGGCCUCCCUCUGCGUAGUAGCACACAUCUCGCAGCUGGGGCGCGGCGCGGCCACUGCCGUAAAACGCACCAACUUUUUUUACAGUUGACCUCGAAUCAGGUAGGAAUACCCGCUGAACUUAAGCAUAUCAAUAAGCGGAGGA
rnacentral:misc_RNA from 1 species